AUGCAACCUGUUGUUUUUUUUCCCUUUCAGGAUUUUUGGGUUUCAAGUAAGAGUAUAUAUUCAACUGACCCAGAGGAAUGGGAUACAGAACGCUCUGGGAGAGCUCAUCAGAGGCAACAAGCACUAAGGUUAACCAUCUGCUUUUGAAAGGAUAUAUCUGGAAGAGAGGACACAAAUAUGGACAGAAGAAGAAUCCUAUUUUGUCAUUCUGGUAGAUGAUCUUUUGAAAAACUCUAAUGUCCCCAAAGAUUAAAUAUAAUAAACUCUGAAUUACUGUCUCUAAUGGAGGUAGCCUGGAGUAUAGAUCAUCUUCAAAGGUUGAACAUUGCUACCCCAAUCA
rnacentral:lncRNA from 1 species